UUGUCUGUGACCUGUGGCCUUUGUCUGUGACCAUCUUGUGGCCACUGAGGCACACACUCAACCUGAAUCUGGUCCUCCAUUACUAACUCAGCUAAGGCUGGGUUUUCCCUGUGUUCUGUUUUGUGUGAGGACAUGCUGGGGUAUCACAUGUGCUUUCCCUGCCAUGUCUGGUACCACUAUGGCAGAAGGAAAAGGAGCUGAUGACCACAUGUCUACCGCAUUGGCAGCCCUGUGCCAUUUGUUCUUCUCCCUGGGCUUCUCUCCCUCCUCUCUCUCUCUGCCGUGUGACUCCAGGUUGGAUGUGUCCAUGGCUGUCUUGAAGCAGAGUGGCUAUGAUGACCGAUGGGAGGCCCUCACGAGACCCUUGUGGAGGUGGAAGGCCGAUGAAAGACUCUCAGGAGGCCUUCAGAGGACCUCAUGAAGAUAUGUAAGAGGAGCUGCAGGAUGACGCUGGCUUUACAAGAGGAAACAAGUUCGGGUCACAGGUGUCUGUGAGUACGGGUCUUCUACCACCAGCAACGUUUGCACAAAACAAAAACCCUGGAGGCUGGAGACAGCUCAGUUGAUCAAGUUCUUGCUGUACAAGCAGGAGGCUGAAAAUACUCCC
ensembl:processed_transcript Gm14617 predicted gene 14617